ensembl:lncRNA
GAGAAGUCACGUACUCAAAAUGUGUUCUAUUCAUAAGGAUAAGUUUCAUUUCAAAAGUUAAAAAUUAAUAUUUCAUGGUAGUGAUCGGUCUCAUAUAUAUAUAUAUAUAAACAGGUUUCAUUUUUAUAUUCAAAAAUGUUUUUGGUAAACUUUAUGGUAUAUUUCAUAUGUAAUUUCACAGUAUUUCUAACUGCGUAGUCAGCUGAGUCUGUUUUGCAUAUGAAGUUGAACUGCACGUAUUGUUCUUUUGUAUCAAUAUUUCUUAGAAUUAUCUGUAUGAUACUUUGAAUCUAAAAGAGGAAGAAGUCCAAAAUCGAGACAUUGACUGGACUAUUUUUAAAGGUGCGAGUGCAUGCUGUCACAGAAAUAUUCUGCAUAUAUUUACCACACACGACUGGUUCUAAGGGUGACUCUUCGAUGUGACUUCUGCAACAGUGCAGCUCAUUGACAUUCUGGGAGUGGUUGCUGUGCUCGUGGCUGGACAUCAGUGUUUCAUCGCAUCAUCAUAAUAUCACUCGUUAACUAAUUCUACGUCAUCUGAGAGACCUGUGCUAAAGUCUACCAGCUGAUAUAUAUAGAUUUACAUAUAGAUCAAAAUAUAUUUUUAUUCUCCCAUUUAUACCAGUAGUCAUGAGGAAAUCUAUACCUUGCAGGUGAAGGGUAAGGAAAGGUAUGAGAUGUUGAAAACGAUCAACAAAAGUUUGGAAAUUAACGACAUGGUACCAUAAGGACAAAUAUCUUCAACUACUAUCUGCCAAGGGCAAGAAGAGAAAGAACGAUGAUAGAGUUUAGAGUUGGGAAAGAUGGAAGGCUGUGGUAAGUCCUCAACCCAGCAAAAGUCCAGGGGACGCCAGGGGUCGAAUUUCCUUAGGAGUUCUCGUCUGGCCAUCUUGGUGAAGAUCUUUGUUAAUUUCAAGGUAGCUGGGGUUAGAGAGGUAUCUACAGUACUAUCUAUCUGAAAUCUUGCUAUUAAUUUUCUAUAUUUUCAUGUAUGUAUCAUGUAUUUUUCCUUUUGAAUUACUCUGUAUUUCUGUAUUUUUGGUUUUGAUUUAAGGAAAAGGUUGUGGCGAGUCUUUUGAUAAGACUCGAGUGGGGGAUUGGUGUGUGGAGAUUCUAAGAAAUCCACAUGGUGAUAGAGAUUCUGAGAAGAAGUCCAUGUAUUUAAAUUAAACCCAAGUGUUGUUGAGAGAUUCUGAGAAGUCACGUACUCAAAAUGUGUUCUAUUCAUAAGGAUAAGUUUCAUUUCAAAAGUUAAAAAUUAAUAUUUCAUGGUAGUGAUCGGUCUCAUAUAUAUAUAUAUAUAUAAACAGGUUUCAUUUUUAUAUUCAAAAAUGUUUUUGGUAAACUUUAUGGUAUAUUUCAUAUGUAAUUUCACAGUAUUUCUAACUGCGUAGUCAGCUGAGUCUGUUUUGCAUAUGAAGUUGAACUGCACGUAUUGUUCUUUUGUAUCAAUAUUUCUUAGAAUUAUCUGUAUGAUACUUUGAAUCUAAAAGAGGAAGAAGUCCAAAAUCGAGACAUUGACUGGACUAUUUUUAAAGGUCAGGUGUUAUUAGUGAUAGCCAGAUGACGACUUAUGUCUAGAACAACAGUAUAUAAGAUAGACUCUGCAAAAUAGAAUAG